rnacentral:lncRNA from 1 species
AGAGUUCCCAAGAAGCAAUUUGUGUCUCCCUGUUCAACUGCCUUCUCCUGGCCACAUUCUUUCCUGGAACUUUCCUUGAUGGACAGAUCUUCAAGCUUCCAUUCAUUGCAUCUGCUUUGCAGGGUCUUCUGUAGCCGUAAUCUCUUACAAUCUCUCAAGCUGUGGAAGAAGGAUGCGGCCCCAAAUCAGAAAUAUGCUGAAAAGUUGCCAUCAUAAAUUUAACUUAAUAUUACUGACUCGGGUGGAUAGAUCAUUGUUCACAAGACUGGGUACUGACUAUGCAUAGGGAGAAAGAAUACCUUAUACUCAACAUGCUAUUGCCCUAAGAAUUCCAUUGCUCUGCAUGGAAGAGGAGAAUUAAAAUCCAAUAAGGACCUCACUACUCCUGGGCCACUGUAUUUAUGAAGUGAACCACUGGCCAGACACUACAGUAAGCACUUAGUCUUAAACCUUCAGUCUUUCAGUUCCACCUCUCUGUAUGAAAUUGUGUUGAACCAUUAUCAAAAAGUAUGGACUUCUGUAGAUUUGUCCAAUUAAACUUUACAUCUGAUCCUUCAUCCAC